GGUUUAAUUCUGGUAAAACAUAUUCCACAAGAAUCCUCUUGCACUACAAUAUGGAUUAUCUUUGCUGAGCCACGCCCUUCGAAGGCCUGCUCACCCAGCUUUGACUCUGUCUUUUCCAGGUCUGGUCUCUUUCCGUGGGACACUAAACCUGACUCUUUCUCAAGCUCACUCCUCUCUGAACUGGUGCAGCCGUCAGGACUUGGGAGUAUUCUUAUUCUUAGGAAUACAUGUAGCUUACAUGGCAUAAAUUUUGAACUUUUGGUACUCUGCCCAAAUCUAGUCAUCCCUCCCUACUGCUGACGCUCCACAUUUUUCUAAUAGGGUUCAAGUCUUCCUUCCUUCCUUCCUUCCUUCCUUUCCCUCUCUCUCUCUCUUUUUUUUUUUUUUCUUUGAGACGGAGUCUCCCUCUGUCAUCCAGGCUGGAAUGCAAUAGCGCGAUCUCCACUCACUGCAACCUCCACCUCCCAGGUUCAAGCGAUUCUCCUGCCUCAGCUUCUCAAGUAUUUGGGAUUACAGGCGUGCGCCACCAGACCCAGCUAAUUUUUGUAUUUUUACUAGAGACUGGGUUUCACCAUGCUGGCCAGGCUGGUCUCAAACACCUGACCUCAGAUGACCCACCCGCCUCAGCCUCCCAAAGUGCUAAGAUUACAGGCAUGAGCCACUGCACCUGACCGUUUCUUUCUUUUCUUUCUCUUUUUCUUUCUCUCUUUUGACACAGGGUCUUGUUCUGUGAUUCAGGCUAGAGUUCAGUAGCACAAUCAUGGCUCAAU
rnacentral:lncRNA from 1 species